GUGUAUUUCCUGUUUGAUAGUGUGCAUGCCUGACAAAGAAUCAGUGUGAUGUAGAUGAAUAGGUCAGCAAAUUGUACUCUAAAGAAAUCUGGUAUUACAAAUAAACCCAUGAUCAAAACUAUCUCACAAAUCUUGCUUAAAUGAGCACCAAUCCAGUAAAUACCAAGCUGAAUAAAUGCAUAAACCCAGCACGCUAAAUUC
rnacentral:misc_RNA from 1 species